GUAGGUGGCAAGCGUUGUCCGGGAAUUAUUGGGGCGUAAAGCGCGCGCAGGCGGUUCUUUAAGUCUGAUGUGAAAGCCCACGGGCUCAACCGUGGAGGGUCAUUGGAAACUGGAGAACUUGAGUACAGAAGAGGAAAGCGGAAUUCCACGUGUAGCGGUGAGAUGCGUAGAGAUGUGGAGGAACACCAGUGGCGAAGGCGGCUUUCUGGUCUGUAACUGACGCUGAGGCGCGAAAGCGUGGGGAGCAAACAGGAUUAGAUACCCUAGUAGUCCACGCCGUAAACGAUGAGUGCUAAGUGUUAGGGGGUUUCCGCCCCUUAGUGCUGCAGCUAACGCAUUAAGCACUCCGCCUGGGGAGUACGGCCGCAAAGGCUG
rnacentral:rRNA from 1 species